AGAGCCCAAACAAAAAGCAGUGUUUUUACACAGAAAACACAAAAGCAAAAUCCCAGAGACUGGCAUAUAGGGCUGAUGUGACAGCUGGGAUUGGUGGAGCAAGGUACCAGAGAGCAAGGAGUUGUUCAAAGAAGUAGUUCUAUUAAUCAGCACUGGAGAGACCUUGAGUCUUUGGUAAAAACAUUUAGUAGCCAUGUGCAGAGUGAAACUCUGUGAGGCUUGGCAGAGAACAGCCACUGGAGGUCUGUGAGAUGAAUAAGGGUGCCAAAGGUCACUGGAAACAUACAUGGAAACAUUGGAAUUCUGACCAACCAGAAUGGAAGAGUCCAGCUAAACAUCUUUUGCAUUCAGUAAGACUGCAGAAGAUGAGGUCUUAAGAGUGCUACUCAAAGCUCUAGAGGAGGAGCUCCUCUGUUUUUUUUUCUUAAUUGUAUAUGUUCAUCAUGUACAUUUGUUGUUUUGAAAUAUGUAUACUUCUGGAGUGGCUAAAUUGAGCUAGUUAAUAUAUAUAUUACUUCAUAUACUUUUUUAGGUGGUUAAAAAAACAAAGUCUCCUUUCUUAGCAGUUUUCAAGAUUUCAGUACAUUGUUAUUAACUAAAGUCACAACGUUGUAUAAUAGAUCUCUUGCACGUAUUUCUCCUAACUGAAAUUUUGUAUUAUUUGACCAAUAUGACUCAACUUCUUUGAGUUCAUUUGCAGCCACCAUUCUGCUGUCUACUUCUAUGAGUUCAACUUUUGUAGAUUCCAUGUAUAGAACCUUGAGACUACUUCAUUAAGAAAUGGCAUCUAAUUCCCCUCCCCUUGAAUCUGGGCAAGCUUGUGAGUUGAUUGUAACCAACAGAAUGUGGCAGAAGUGGCCCUUUGUGACUCUGAGGCUAGGCUGUAAAGGAUGGUGCUGCUUCCAUCUUGGUUGGCUGUUGUGUAAAAAGUCCAGCUACGCUGAGGCUUCCAAGCUUGAAGAAACUUAAGCAAGCUCACGUGGAGAGACCACAUGAAGAAGGCUUGAGCCUAUGUUAACAGAUGCCUAGCUAAUUUCUAGCUUUCUCAUUUCCACCUUUACUGUUUUUUUCUUCUGCUUACUUCUUGUUUAUUUGCUCUUCUUUUGUUAGUUCUUUUGGGUAGAAACUUAGAUAAUUUAUUUGAGAUUAUCUUCUUCUCUAAUAUGAGCAUUUUAGUAUUAGAAAUUAUUGUCUAAGUACUACUCCAGCCACAGUAUACAAAUUUUGAUAUGUCAUGUUUUAAUUUUUAUUCAUUUCAGUAUUUUCAAAUUACUUUUGUGUUUUCUUUUACUUGUGGGUUAUUUGGAAAUGUGUUGUUUACUUCCCAAAUAUUUAGAAAAUUUUUAGAUAUAUUAAUACUUCUGUUUUAGGUUUUUAAUUUACUUUCAUUUUGAUCAGAGAGCAUACUUUAUAUAAUUUCAGUUCUUCUAAAUUUGUUGAGACUUGUUUUAUGACCCAGUAUAUGGUCUAGUCAAAUGUUCCAUUUGCACUUAGAAAGAAUGUGUUUUCUGCUGUUACUGUGUGGAGUAGCCUAUAGACAUCACAUGGGUAAAGUUGAUUGACAGUGUUAUUCAAAUCUCCUGUAUUCGUACUGAUUUUUUUGUACUUGUUUUAUCAAUUACUGAGAGGAGUUGAAAUCUCCAGUUAUAUUUAUCAAUAUCAAUCCUGUCAGUUUCCAUUUUAUCAGGUUAAUGCAUUUUGAAGCUCUGUUAUUGGGUGCAUACUACUUAGAACUGAUAUGUCCCUAUGAUGCACUUAUUAUUAUUAUGAUGAAAUGACCCUCUUUAUCCCUAGUAAUAUGUCUUAUUUGAAAAAAAAUCUACUUUUUGUGAUACUGGUAUUGACCCACUCAACUUCCUUAUGACCUUGUGUUUGCAUAAGUAUAUUCUUUUCUAUCUUUCUCUUUUAAUUUUUUUAAAAAAAAUGAAGUUGUACACAGCUUAUAGUCAGGUUUUGCUUUUUUAUUCAGUGUGACAAUCUUUUAUUUUUAAUUGGGUUGGUUAGGUGAUUUAUAAUGAAUGUAAUUUUUUAAAUUUUGUAGGUAUCUAGUAGGCAUAUAUAUUUAUGGAGUACAUGAGAUAUUUUGAUGCAGGCAUGCAAUGUGUAAUAAUCAUAUCGUGAAAAAUGGAAUAGCUGUCUCCUUAAGCAUUUAUCAUUUGUGUUACAAUCUAAUCAUACUCAUAGUUAUUUUAAAAUGUACCAUUAAAUUAUUUUGACUAUUGCCA